UUAACAACCCCGCCCACUCCCAUGCCAGACCCAGAGUCGCCUCGAGGAGGGUGUGAGUACGAUGGUGAUUACUAUGAGCCUGGAAUCAUCAGAAAGGUAGUAGAUGGUCAAUGUGAUUUGAUUGUCACCUGUGAGGAAGGAGGCAAUGUUAGCGAAAGUGAAUCCAUUGGUUGCUAUGGGGGUGACUUCGUUGAAAUAUCCCCAGUUGAACCGUAACCUAGAAGGAAGUAACGGUUUCUCCGACUGAGAUUUUGAAAGAAGCUGCAGAUCUUGAAAACGCGAACAAGAUUAUAAAACUCUUAUAAACAAUUGUUUAAAAUAAAUGUGUUUCCUUA